GACGAACGCUGGCGGCGUGCUUAACACAUGCAAGUCGAACGCAUCCUUCGGGGUGAGUGGCAGACGGGUGUGUAACGCGUGGGAACGUGCCCUUCAGUUCGGAAUAACCCAGGGAAACUUGGGCUAAUACCGGAUACGUGCGAGAGCAGAAAGAUUUAUCGCUGAAGGAUCGGCCAGCGUCUGAUUAGCUAGUUGGUGAGGUAAUGGCUCACCAAGGCGACGAUCAGUAGCUGGUCUGAGAGGAUGAUCAGCCACAUUGGGACUGAGACACGGGCCAGACUCCUACGGGAGGCAGCAGUGGGGAAUAUUGGACAAUGGGCGCAAGCCUGAAGCAGCCAGGCCGCGUGAGUGAUGAAGGCCGUAGGGUUGUAGAGCUCUUUCAGUGGGGACGAUAAUGACGGUACCCGCAGAAGAAGCCCCGGCUAACUUCGUGCCAGCCGCCGCAGUAA
rnacentral:rRNA from 1 species